GAUGAACGCUGGCGGCGUGCCUAAUACAUGCAAGUCGAGCGAACAGACGAGGAGCUUGCUCCUCUGACGUUAGCGGCGGACGGGCGAGUAACACGUGGAUAACCUACCUAUAAGACUGGGAUAACUUCGGGAAACCGGAGCUAAUACCGGAUAAUAUAUUGAACCGCAUGGUUCAAUAGUGAAAGACGGUUUUGCUGUCACUUAUAGAUGGAUCCGCGCCGCAUUAGCUAGUUGGUAAGGUAACGGCUUACCAAGGCAACGAUGCGUAGCCGACCUGAGAGGGUGAACGGCCACACUGGAACUGAGACACGGACCAGACUCCUACGGGAGGCAGCAGUAGGGAAUCUUCCGCAAUGGGCGAAAGCCUGACGGAGCAACGCCGCGUGAGUGAUGAAGGUCUUCGGAUCGUAAAACUCUGUUAUUAGGGAAGAACAAAUGUGUAAGUAACUAUGCACGUCUUGACGGUACCUAAUCAGAAAGCCACGGCUAACUACGUG
rnacentral:rRNA from 1 species